UGGGGAAUUUUGGACAAUGGGCGAAAGCCUGAUCCAGCAAUGCCGCGUGUGUGAAGAAGGCCUUCGGGUUGUAAAGCACUUUUGUCCGGAAAGAAAUCCUUGGCUCUAAUACAGUCGGGGGAUGACGGUACCGGAAGAAUAAGCACCGGCUAACUACGUGCCAGCAGCCGCGGUAAUACGUAGGGUGCAAGCGUUAAUCGGAAUUACUGGGCGUAAAGCGUGCGCAGGCGGUUUGCUAAGACCGAUGUGAAAUCCCCGGGCUCAACCUGGGAACUGCAUUGGUGACUGGCAGGCUAGAGUAUGGCAGAGGGGGGUAGAAUUCCACGUGUAGCAGUGAAAUGCGUAGAGAUGUGGAGGAAUACCGAUGGCGAAGGCAGCCCCCUGGGCCAAUACUGACGCUCAUGCACGAAAGCGUGGGGAGCAAACAGGAUUAGAUACCCUGGUAGUCCACGCCCUAAACGAUGUCAACUAGUUGUUGGGGAUUCAUUUCCUUAGUAACGUAGCUAACGCGUGAAGUUGACCGCCUGGGGAGUACGGUCGCAAGAUUAAAACUUAAAGGAAUU
rnacentral:rRNA from 1 species